CAAACCAAGCAUUCAUUGUGGCACAUUUGAAAAAUGAAACACUCAGGCUGACAAACUGGAUAAACACACCCCAAAAAUAUAAAAAUGCAUAAUAAUCUUAUAUUAAUUAAUAAUAAUAAUAAUUCAGAAAUGGUCAGUAUGCUCUGGACUUGAUUUCAGAAAAAGCGUGAGGAUAUCUGAUGAAUGAUAAAACGAGGGAAAGGACACACAGAGUACAAAAAGCAAAAUGAUAAGAAAAAGAUAAGAAAAGAGUAAAGAAAGAAAAGAAGUGAGAAAAAAGGAAGACAAAAGAUCAAGAAAACAGAAAAGGGCUAAAGGAAAUAUAACAGAGAAAGUAAGCAGAUGCAGAGACUGAAGAGAAAAAAAAAGACAAAAAAGAGGAGAAAAGAAGAAAUGAAAAAGAGAGAUGGGAAAAUUACUCCAAACUGCCACUAGAGGGAGCAGUCAGUGAGUCCUCAAUGAAUGGGGAUAAACGGAGCUAAAAACUAAAAAAAAAAAAACUCAAACUAACUACUUGGCCAGAAUAUUCCUUUAAUUUUAGAGAACAGAAUAAUGUAUUUUGUUAAAAAGCAAAACAAGCGUUAGGCAAAAAAGGUUAAAUGUGUACAGUACAGAAACACAUGAUAAUGUUCUGUGUUGAAGAAAUGAACAAUUUUUCUUCUUAUAUACCCAUUCAUUUUGCACUCACUCGGGAUCUGCCAACAGGCUGCAAAUACAGCCUCUCACUGUGAGAUACAGAGAGAGCCAGGGCUGAAGGGUAAAGUGUGUGAGGGGCCGAUGGUCUGUCCACACUGGUGGCUCUGUAGAACUGGGGGCCAUUCCCGGUCAUCAGGCUCUGGAACAUUCAGUGACUUGCUGUGGAUUAAAUUUAAAGUGAUACAAGAAAAAUAAAAACAUAAAAAAACAAAAUCUGCUGUUGUGUUCUGCCUCUGAAACAGCAGCUAGGACGUUUCUAGAGCCAGCCUGACCACACAGCACGAAAAUCACCCAAAUAAAUGAAAGAUACAAAAAAAAUUGCUGUAAAAAAAACUGUUUCUGCCUUUCCCGAUUGCAGAAACAGCUCUUUUCUGCCUGCUCUUCUCUAGUGGUUACUCUGAUAAUCUGAGCAUUUCUGACUGAUCCAAAACCGAUAAACUUUGCAAAAAAAUGACAGAAUCAUAAAAAUAAACAACAUGCCGCAGCGAUAACCCAACCCUCCUACAUUUAAAACACAC